rnacentral:lncRNA from 1 species
UUUCUUCUAUUCUUCUCUCUAUACGUUGGUGUUCUAACCACUAAUCACCAAAGCGAUGUUCUGUCCGAUCGAUUCAGGAACCAUCUAACGAAUGCCAAAGUGUUGUACUUUGUGCAUUUCGUUAAACGGAAUCCAAAGUACUACACUUUGUGAGUUCAUUAAAUGGAUACCAAAGUACUGUCCGAAUAAGACUAUACUUUGUGAAAUUCGUUAAGGUUCGAAUCUCGUGAUCAUCGUUAGGUUGGAUAUGGUUUUACACAAAUACGUAUUCCAUUAAACUAUAUGUUUAACCAUCCGAAUACUCCCAACUAUACACUUACAAUCAAAGUAGAUGCUAAUUCUCAGAAGAGCUUGAAUCAGGAAACUUGUUAAUUCAAUACUGCAUGCUUAUAAUGUAAUUACAGUAGAUUGGAGUAAGGAUUGGAUCCGGCACUGAAGGACUUCAGGAAGUGGCUUAUUUUAUUAAUUAAAUCAAAUUAAGAAAUAUUGUUUUUAUUAAAAGCUACCUUUGUAAAGAUGGAAUUUAUUCCAUCUAUUUUAAAUAAAAUCCGGUGUUUCUAAACUCUGAUAUUUUUCCUAACUCACGGUUUUGAUGAAAUUUCCGCUGCAAUGUUUUUUAGAAGUAAUCACCGGUACCACUGGGCUGCUCGCGGCUCCCGAUUCCUUCCAGGAUGGGGUCGGGGGUCGUGACACCAAAGAACGCUUAAGGUUGGGGAUGAUCGAGAAUUAGAAGUGAAGGCCAUUGGAACAUUACAAUUAGUUAUGAAAACUGGUUUAUGUAUUAAACUUUAUGAUACCUUAUAUGUUCCUGAGGUAACUCGGAACCUUGUAUCAGGGCCAAAGUUAGACAUGGACGGUUUUAUUGU